GAUGAAGAACGUAGCGAAAUGCGAUACGUAGUGUGAAUUGCAGAAUUCAGUGAACCAUCGAAUCUUUGAACGCACAUUGCACCUCUCGGUAUUCCGGGAGGUAUGCCUGUUCGAGCGUCAUUUGUACCCUCAAGCUCUGCUUGGUGUUGGGUGUUUGUUCCGCCUCUGUGUGUGAACUCGCCUCAAAACAAUUGGCAGCCGGCGUACUUGUUUCGGAGCGCAGCACAUUUUGCGAUCCAGAUCAACGUACAGCGGCAUCCAAGAAGCCUUAUUUAACGCUCUUGACCUCGGAUCAGGUAGGGAUACCCGCUGAACUUAAGCAUAUCAAUAAGCGGAGGA
rnacentral:misc_RNA from 1 species